CCUACGGGUGGCAGCAGUGGGGAAUAUUGGGCAAUGGGCGCAAGCCUGACCCAGCAACGCCGCGUGAAGGAAGAAGGCUUUCGGGUUGUAAACUUCUUUUAAGAGGGAAGAGCAGAAGACGGUACCUCGUGAAUAAGCCACGGCUAACUACGUGCCAGCAGCCGCGGUAAUACGUAGGUGGCAAUCGUUGUCCGGAUUUUCUGGGUGUAAAGGGCUUGCAGCCGGGAAGAAAAGUAAGAUGUGAAAUACCGCGGCUCAACCGCGGAACUGCAGUGGAAACUGUCUUUCUUGAGUACCGGAGAGGUCAUCGGAAUGCGUGGUGUAGCGGUGAAAUGCGUAGAUAUAAGGAAGAACACCGGUGGCGAAGGCGGAUGACUGGACGGCAACUGACGGUGAGGCGCGAAAGCGUGGGGAGCAAACAGGAUUAGAUACCCGAGUAGUC
rnacentral:rRNA from 1 species